UGCUACUGGAGUAGUUGUUACUUUACUGUAAAUUAAACCUCGACCGUUCGGUCAUGCCGGGAAAUAUCAAACGUCGGCUCGCUGUCGCUCGGUUGAUACAUUAAAGCCUCAGUCUGAUAUUUCCCGGCAUGACCUCACUCUCGGUUAGUAAGUAGUUAAUAAAACUUAAGAAGAACAAUAUCUAUGCAAAGGCUUUUGGCACUUGUGUACUUAAUGUAAACGUGUCACAUUCUUGUUGGGGAAGAAAUGUGGACAAUGGAUGUUUGAUCUUUAGGUGGUUUUGUCACUGCACCAUUUGUUUACAGGAUGAUUCACAUGAGGUGCAACUGAUAAAGUAAUAUGAUAAAGCCACCAAUAUUCUUCACUAUGAACAAAUGGACUCUAAAGAGUCUACUCACUAUUUUUAUUAACUAUUGUAAACUUCCGAAUGUCUGUUUCCAGUAAAACUGAUACAUGUUUACUUUGUCUAUAUGCUGUGGUAUUGGAACUACUGUUAUAUGAUAUAAUAUGGUCAUGAAACACGGACAUUUGCUACAUUCAACAGCCAACACCCUUGUUCAUGAAUUGUGCUAUGAAUGAGUGAUGAGUCUAGCUUUACAGGGAUGUAUUGUUCCUGUGGAUCGAGCAAUCAUGGGUCCAAUUCCCAGGGGGCCUACAUGGGCUACUGAUGAAAAUGGGUAUCUGUACUCUAAGUUGCUUUGGAUAAAAGCAUCUGCUAAAUUAGUAAAUUGGAUUGGAGUAAACGCUUUGGAGGAUGGUCUCUGGCUGUAGAUCAUCAUUGCUCUAAAGACAGUGAAGGAAAUGAUGAACCUGCACAGCAGUAAUGUCACCUCAGUACAAGUAUGUAUAUGUCUGUGUAGAUCGAGGCUGUAGGUUGUUUAUGUGUUUGUAUGUUUGUGUGUGUGAUUGCUUCUAUGACCAGACUGGUCUGUCUGUAUCAAUGAUUGUAGCUCCCUCAGCAGACUGAUGUAACUGCUUGUUUCCAUGGCAACUCCACGCAGUGCCUGACCCCAGUACAGUACAUGCACACAGUUUUGGCAGUGCGCUGACCUACUUUUAGUGCUGUGUUCUCCCACACACACAGAUGCACUACACUGGAAGAGCUCAUAUGCACUGCUAUGCACACCCACAAGCAUGCACCCGUACAUGGGCCCCUAUACACACACACACACACACACACACUUAAUAAGCUGGCAAACAUGUAGGUUGUGUACACAUAUCUACUUAUGUCCCUUCACAGACACAUACUUCCAGUAUAGUACGCGUGUAGGCCUACAUAGCUGGAGAUUGAAUGUCUGAAGGGGUACGGGACUGUAAAAAGUUUGGGAACCACUGGCCUACAGCAAUGAAUGAUAAAUAAAUAGAUAAAUAUUUCACACAGGCUACAAAUAAUAAUGCAAUAUGCUGCCCAUAGACCAAGUUUCUUCACACAGUUUUCAAAAUGCAUCUUUAUGAUGACACGCGCUAGUUUGCACAAUAAAUAUUACAUUCCAUUAAGUGGGUGAUUGAAAACACAAGGGCUUGGUUUUGGCACAGAUACCUCGAUUUUAUUUGAUUACGAUUCAGUCCAUGAAUUUUACAGAUCAAUAUUGAUUAUCAGACGAUUAAAAAAAUAAAUAAAUACUAUUUAGCGCAAAACUAUGUUAUUGCACACCCCUAAAAAACACUGAACAAAAAAUCAUUUGAAUUGUCAUAAUUCAUGCAUGAAUGUUAAAGAUGUGUUUGUCUCAACUUUGUAGCUAUCUAAUUGUGAGCAUACAUUUCUAAAACUACUAACGGUUUGACUUUAAAAAUUAUUAUUUUAACCUUAUGAGCUUUGAGGUAUAAUAUUUGUAAAGUGAUAUUGGACUACUUUCCCUUCAAAGCUUCUAUGUGGUAAUUUUUGUCUUGGAGCUAUCUAGGACUAUCCAUUUCAUUAGAUGCAGAUUACUUACUGUUUUGUGUAGCCUUCAUAUGAAGAAACUAAGAAAAAAGAGAGAACCAGUGGAACAGUCCUUCCCCCUUGUUACAAAGUUACAAAUUAAGAAAACAUCAAAGAGGCUCUUAAACACAAACUCGCCAUAGGCUACAAUGUACUAUUUCUGUAAAAUACUAUUUAACAUCUAUGGAUGGAAAUUGGCAAUUUCAACAACUGGGCCAAGGAAAAUUGGGCGACUGUCAAAAGAAAAUCCAUUGAAAAGAAAAAAGGUACAUUACCAGUAGCCAGUGAAAACAAAAGGCAUUAACUUAUCAGUAAAGACUUUCUGGACAAAAUUAAAAGAAGGGAGAAAUUACAAGGAAGUCCACUGAUUGGGCAGUAAGUGUGUUUGUUGAUCUACAGACAUUUUAUGCGACCAAGCUGAUGGUUUGAUCAACAUCAAACCAAACUGAACAGAGUUCUCACAACUCACAAUACAGAUUCAUUUUUGCCCAGCGCAGUGACCCCCUUUAUAUUGAAAACCUACUCAGUUUCUUGGGCCUGCCUAGGUCAGAAAACAUGUGAUUCAACAAGCCAUUCAGGUUUGGCUCUCUACCUCGACAUCUAGAUGGGAGGCUCAUUAGAAUUAUACUGCCCGAGUAUCUGAGUAUCUCCACCCACGGCUUGAGAACUACCUUUGCGACGGUCCGUGUUUUUCUUGCAAGCGCCGGACUCGCUUGUAUUAUGUUAAAGCUAAGCGCUAAGCUCGGAAACUGCUCUACUCUCGACUGCACAGACCAAUACAUCGCUGAAUCGGCCCUGAGCCUCAGAGGACAGUUUAUUUUUGAUGGCAACGUCCCAGCUACAGUUGGCACAAACCUGUACGUGUGUGUUAACCACUUUGUGUUUUUUCCAACCUGGUUCAGUACAACAUUGGAUUGGCAGCGAAACUUUUCCUAAAAGAGGGAUCAAUACCAACUGUCCGUGGCAAAACUGCAGACGGGGGAAAUGUAAGUAUUGAAAAUAUCAUUAUACUAUGGGUUUCUUUGGCUGUUUAGCACUAGCCAACUCUAACAUCUGAGGUCAUUUUCUAGAAAGUUAUUGGCCUUCCUUGCUGCAGGAUCCACAAUACCAUUAAAACUGUUUGUUUGUUAAUUUAAUGUCUUUAAGAUGAACUUCAUCUUAUAAACACUCUUAAAGAACCUGAAAGUAAAAUGAGAGAAUGGUUGUAGAUGUUUCCAGAGUGUUCCUUGGUGAUGAUUUUAUAGAGAUUCACAAGACUUAUCAGUUCAGUUAUCGCUGAAUCACUGAAGCCAUUUCAGCUGUGCCUACUGUCCCUCGUGUAGCUGGUCUGCAGUCAAAGUUACAGUUGUGUUCCACUCAGAUAAUCAGAGGUUAGCAAUAUUAGCAUGUUGUGGUAGAGGAAAGUGUUGUUUACGUCCACCUAUAAUUUGGCAAACUAGCACGCUAUGCAGUGUAUGUAUGUCGGUGAGUGUCGCUGCUAGAAUGAGGCCUGACCUCGGAGCAAACUGGGUGUUGUAUAGCAAUCACUUAAUUCAGUUCAGGAGGCACAUCUGACCUACUAUUAAACUGGCUGCUACACCAGAAAGAGAAAAAGCAAGUUGCAAUCACUCUGAUGCAGCUCGAUCAUUAGUAUUGUCAAUACAAUUUUUCUUGCUUCGCCAAAGUCUAUUGCUCACUUGAAAAGCUCUAGGUCAUGCUUAAGGAUGUGAGUACCUGUGAGGUUUUUACUGAGAGAAAACAUGAAAUGGACUAUCAUCAUUAUUGACUGUACCAACCAUGGAAAGCUUGCACUGGCCGAAGAACAAAACUGCAAAAACAGUAAAGUUCUAAUGGAAUAUCUUAAAUGCUUAUGAGAGAUUUGCUUUUACUCCAUGUUUGUAGGCAUAGGUUUGCAAGGAUUAUCUGUCAGAUGAGUUCCCUACUAAUUAUAGUUAUAUCUGCAUUUAUGUUUGCAGUGUAUUAUUGCUUUUUGUGACAUUGGAGCACAUACAAAAAGCACAUACAUUAAAUAUGGCUGCCCUUGGUGUUUAGGGAAGCACAUCUGGACAGUUGGCUGUGUUGCAUCAUAUGGCUUGCCAGACGGACCCACCGAAGGGAUGCACAGUUGGCACACAGCUUUCUAUCCAAACUCCCCAACCUCACUUCUGAAGUAUAGGCACACAGAAAACUGUCCUGCACUGAUGUUUGUGUUGGCACCCCUCAACAGUUUCCUUCACGACUUCACAACCGAAGUGACCACAAUUGGAACUGGAGGAGGAAGAGGAGACCCCUUUAGAAGGCAGCUCAUCUAUGGUCAAUCGAGAGGCUCUACAUGUGAUCCUGCAGACUUGCAAAGCCUCUAUAGGCCAAGUAUUCAAGUAUCUGUAACGGCUGAGCAAAGUGUAUAUGAUAUUAACAGUCAAUGGUGACACCCAUUUAUAGUGUGUCUAUCUUUUUGUAGUAUGGCUUCUUUGAAACCUCACUGAUGAGACAAUAUUUUUUUUAUAAUUUUGCCUAUUGCCUAUAAACAAUCAGGACUACUGUACAAGGUGUAACAUUGAAUAACUUUUCAAAAGUGGUGUGGUUUUUGCUGUAGCAAUAGUUCAAUAAACAAUAAACUUCAAGUCUAUAUAAA